CACGUAGGAGGCGAGCGUUGUCCGGAAUCAUUGGGCGUAAAGAGCGCGCAGGCGGCCCGGCAAGUCGGGUGUGAAAUCCCGGGGCUCAACCCCGGGACUGCAUUCGAUACUGUCGGGCUAGAGGUAGGUAGGGGAGUGUGGAAUUCCUGGUGGAGCGGUGAAAUGCGCAGAUAUCAGGAGGAACACCCGUAGCGAAGGCGGCACUCUGGGCCGAUACUGACGCUGAGGAGCGAAAGCGUGGGGAGCGAACAGG
rnacentral:rRNA from 1 species